AUACGUAGGGGGCGAGCGUUGUCCGGAAUGAUUGGGCGUAAAGGGCGCGUAGGCGGCCCGGUAAGUCUGGAGUGAAAGUCCUGUUUUUAAGAUGGGAAUUGCUUUGGAUACUGUCGGGCUUGAGUGCAGGAGAGGUAAGUGGAAUUCCCAGUGUAGCGGUGAAAUGCGUAGAGAUUGGGAGGAACACCAGUGGCGAAGGCGGCUUGCUGGACGACAACUGACGCUGAGGCGCGAAAGCGUGGGGAGCAAACAGGAUUAGAUACCCUGGUAGUCCACGCCCUAAACGAUGAAUACUAGGAGUGGGGGGACUGACCCCCUCCGUGCCGGAGUAAACACAAUAAGUAUUCCACCUGGGGAGUACGACCGCAAGGUUGAAACUCAAAUGAAUUGGCGGGG
rnacentral:rRNA from 1 species